CAUUCUGUGAUUACUUCUAAACUAGCUACUUUCCUUCAUUGCCCUAAAACAAUGAAGCUAUUAAUCUUGCCAUUUACUUUUCAAUUUCAUAAAAUCUAAUCAUUACUUUUUUCCUAAAAACAAAUUCUAUAGUGGUACAUCAAAACUAAGGUAUUUCAAAAGGGAGCUCAUUCCCAGAAUUAUCCCCAAAGUAUCUAAUUGGCUCCUGCAAGCGUAAGGAUGAUAAUUCUUCAAACUUCCAAAAUAUGCUAAGAUUUUUAGCAGUUCUACAAACUUAGAUUUCUGACUUUUUUUUCUAUGAAUCCAACAUACCUAAAGCUGAAAUGACAGGGGAAAAAAUGUCUUACAGGUUUUUUCUUUUUCCUCUUAUAUCCUAAUCUCUCGUGGAAAGCCUAAAAUAGGAAUUAGCCCUGCUUACUGGGACAAUACUUCAAUUGUAAAAGUCCAUUAAUCUUUCCCAGUGUUCUAAACUUUCUAGCUAUAGGCUGCAUUUUAAACCUUUCAGGAUAACAGAAUCUAGCUCACAACACAAACAUGAAAUGAACAUUUUACUAGCACAAAGAAAACAAGACAUAUGAAAACACACAGUUUUAACAAAGUGUGCCGUUACAAUCCAUACAGAGGCACAUGGGUUCAAUUUUACAGAGGCAUGCAGUUUAAAAGAAAAAAAAAAAAAGCAGAGGCAUGGAGAAAGACUGACCCAAGACAAACUGGAUUGCUGGAGGGACCCUAGAAUUUUCCUUACAAAAAAUGGCAAGCUGGACCAAGGCAGGACCUCAGAGGAUUGGAGCAGGGACAAGGGCAAAGGACUCACCAGUUUGGGGGGGGGCGGAGUAGGAGGACUCCAGGGAAAUAAAUCUCUGGUGGCACCUAGUUCAUUCCCACUGGUACUAGAGCGUCCAUUGGCCUGGUUCCAAGUCCAAUCCCACUUCUGACACUAAUUAAUGUCAACCAGAUGGAACUGGCCUCUAACCUGUGGGUGGCCAGAGCCAAAUAGAACAGGCUAGAGACAGGAGAGUCAGGAAUCAAACAGAAGUUUAAUUUCAAAGUGAGGGAGACGGUUUGCCAACAAGACCCCAUGUGCUAGGGCCCCACCCCUAGUGAGAGGACCCACUUUUGUGGGGCUGAACCUUGAUUUAUAUACUUAUGACUGACUAGACAAAGAGUCAAACAGUGUAGUGUAGCAACAGUAGUGAGGCACAACAGCAACAGUGAGUUAUAGCAGCCACAGUGAGGCAAGAUUGCCUAGUGACAAUAAGACCACUCACAGCAGGGCUUCGUGGCUGAGCCUGUCAGUGCUUGCCCAGGCUCAGGGACCAUCAGUUCCAAAAGUUCUCGAAAAGAAAAAUGACAUUACGAGGUGAUUGAGGUCUUAAGGUGCACAUGAACUGAACAUAAUUGAGGCAGAGCUGUGAAAGACGUCAGUCCUUACUUUUCCUUCCAGUCCAGUGGCAAGACAAAAUCAAGAUGACAGCAAUGUCCCAAGAUGCAGUCACUGACAGAAAUAUUGAGCAAUGCAAGGGGAAUCAAUCCCUAAAAAACUAGAUACGGAACAGAGUAACUGUCCAUUCAAGUAAGAGAAAAUAGGAAGGAAAUAAAGUCACAUAAAAUGUGUUUCACUCCCAGCAGUACAUAUUUCUACCCAAAGAAAUCAACCAGAUGCCAAGACAAAACAAUGGAGAGGAAAAAAGAACUAUUAGAAUUUCAUUAAUGGGAAAAUCUUCCCCAGAAAACAUCCAAAACCCAACAAAAGAGAAGAUCCAGUGCUCACAAAGGAAUUGAUUUGCUGAUGUUCUUUCAAAACAAAUGUCAAACUCAAUCAAACCUCUAAGGCGAGGUUGGAUAAAAAGAAAAUCCCAACAGAAAGAAAAAAAAGUAGACAAAAAAAUAGAGUCCAUUUUGGGGCCCUUUAAAUAAUCUACCACAGAAUUGGAUUUCUACUCCAAGUAGAAUAUACAGA